UCAGACUAAUAUUACCAGCUUCACACACUAACAUUAUUUCAAAGGUUCCUCUCUUUCCUCCCUGUGAUUUGGAUGUUUAAGGCUCACACAAAUUUCAAAUAUGUUUGAAGUUAAAUUAGUGUGGUUCUGACUGGGGCUGACUUGAAUGCAUCACAGCGUCAAAGCUUUGACCGUUGCCUGACUUUGAAAUAAGCAUUCAAAUGCUUCAAUUUGUUUUUUAUUAUUCUAAUAUAUGCAUUACCAGAACAAUUCUGAAUAGCCCAUAAAAUAGGAAACAAUGAUCCAACGGCAUUCAUCAGUGAAUGAUGCAGGAAUGAGUCCUACAACCUAUAAGUAAGUUAGCAUGUUAGCAUGUUAGCACUUCCUGUUCCCUCGUCCCAAAGUCUUUCUGGUUAAAUGUCUGAAAUAAGGUCUGUGGUUUUAACACAAGCUCAAGACAUUUUCAGGUUUUAUUCUCCGACAUAAAAUGGGUCAGUAAAUCCCCCACUCCUGAUGUUUGAAGCUUUUACGUGUCUUAAAAAAGGCGGUUGCUAACGAGUGUCUAAAUGAGACUACAGAGGUUGUCGGGGACGUUAACAUGAAAACCCAUCUACUCACCAGUCCACCUUUACAGCCUCGUUGUGUUUCUACAUAUUUUUUUAGUCCCACCCUGAAGUUUGCAUCACCCUGGUUCCUGCCAAGAAAGUCAUUCAGACAUUUCACCAAAAACCCAUUGACUUUAAGACAAGGGAACCAGGAGUACUACCUGGUUAUAGGACUCAUUCCUACUCCACUCGCUUCGCAAGAACAAGUGGAAAAAAAAGACAGUCAAUCCUCAACAGUGCCUAAAUCUUUAUUUUUCAGUAAGCUACAUUUUUUUUCUCCAAAUUAGACAGUUUUACAUCAUGACACAAGAGUAACUUAAAUUAUCUAUAGCUGACAUGUACGCUUGAUUCCAGUCUCGAUGGAAGAAAAUACCCCCCCAAAAAAAACAACAUAACCAAAAAAAGAGGAAAAAAACAUUGAAACAAAAUUAAAACCAAAAAGCCCUCUUGAACGCAACCUCCAUUCCACAUCUGUUAAAGGAGUCGUUAGGCAAAAAUUAUCUGUCCAAACCCCAACACGGUGGAGUCGUCGAUUGUCCACAGCCGUUAGCGUAGCAUGGUAAGAGUGUUAAUGAGUUAAACCACAGUGAGUUGAUAAAGAGAUCGAGUCUUGUUCCAGUCAGUUGGUGUGCAUUUGUUAUUAUAACUUCCAAAAAAAAAAAGAAAUAAAAACCACCACAAGGGGGCAAG